CAUUUAACUGAUUGCCCUUAGAAGUUGGCUUCUUACAGAAACACAGCUUCCCUAUCACCAAAUGUCACGGCACGCCACUGUAAUGCACAUAUAUUUUUUAAUUCUUUAAAACAUUUUAUAUAUUUGAUUAUUUAUAAGAAGUUUUCUUCUAGAAAUAGGGUAUCUCAUGGCAAAAUAUGGGCUAGCAUUUGAAACAAUGAAGCAGUUUUCUAAAAUUAAUGGAUCUGAAUCUCUUUAUGAUUUAAUAGUCUUAUUAAGUGGAUGCAAAGAGUUUCAAGAUAUUUUACUUCGCAGUAAUGAAAGAAAAAUUUUAAAUACUUUGAAUAAAAAUAAAACAAAAGCAACAAUUAGAUAUCCUGUCUCAGGAAAGGUAAACACUCCUCAAUUAAAAAUAAAUUGUAUUAUUCAAGCAGCACUUGGAUGUUUAACAAUUUCAGAACCAUCUUUAAAUCAAGAUAUGACAAAAAUAAUGAAGAUAGGUCAAAGAAUUAGUAAAGGUUUAGCUGAAUACUUAUUUAUAGAAAUUAGAGGAUUUAAAGCAUUAUUAAAUGCCAUUACUUUGGCAAAAUGUUUUCAUGCACGACUAUGGGAAAAUUCUAAGUAUGUUUCAAGACAAUUGGAAAAAAUUGGUGCAGCUUUCUCUGAUAUACUAGUGAAUGCUAAUAUAACCAGUUUUCAAGCUAUAGAAGAUACAAAUCCUAGAGAAUUAGAAAUGAUUUUAAACAGAAACCCACCAUUUGGAAGCUAUAUUCAUGAUGCAACAUGUCAUUUACCAAAAUAUGAAAUAUGUAUUGAGCAGGAAUCCAAAACCUUAAAUAAUUACUUGGAUAUAUAUGUUACUGUCAUGUUGAAAAAUUACAAGUUGCUUCAAGAAAAACACACAGCUUCUUCAAAUCACUCCUGUGUAUUAUUAGUAGGUGACUCUGAUGAUAAUUUAAUUUUAAAACAAAGAGUAAUGGACUCGACUCUGAUUAAAAUGGGACAACUGAUGAAAAAAUUUCAAAUUCAAGCAUGUAAAGAGAAUAUGGAACUUAAAGUAUAUGUAAUUAGUGAACAUUAUGAAUUUUCUAUCCCUUUUUAAUCCUUCUUUUGUCAAUGGGGGAUCUGUUCCAAGAAACAUCAGUAACAAUACUGUAGAUAGAACAACAAUGAGCCCAAAGGGGAAGAGAAACUGGUUACUCUUGAGCUUGAUUUUGGAGAGGACACACAAAGGUCCUGAUAGUCUGAGGAGGUAAGAACAAAAGAGUGAAAAAGGUUAAACUUCAGUGAGUACCAUGUGGCUUAACAGGAUAUAAGUUUUAUCAGUACCCUUUUCUGAACAAGAGACUUUCUAUCAUCACAAAGUUGGAUAAGCAACGGAACUAUAUUUGUGAUGAAAGACAGAAAAUGAUAAAGCCAGAAGAUUUCCUUGUGGACUUCAUCUCACAAGUGAGGAACAGUAUCCCCCAACAAAAUUCCAGGUUUAGUGAGUUCCUAAGUUGUGCUUGUGGGGUCUCCCCCCUUUUCUCGGUGUGGACCUACUUUUUUCUGCUCGGGAGCGCAAGUGUGCGCAAGUUUUUUCUACGGUGCUUUCCCUCGUUGUUGGAUUAGAUAAGCAGAUUACUUAUAAACUACAUUCAGGAAAAUUUCAUGAACAGAAAAGUCAUAUAAAUAAAAAGAAUAGUAAUCCUGGAAAUU